rnacentral:tRNA from 1 species
GGCACCGUUGUGUAGUUGUUUAGCGCGUCGGCGUACAUUGUCGAAGUCGCUAGUUCGAGUCCAACCGGUGCCU